GCAUCCUGUUACCAUCAACAACCUUAACUUCAUUUACUUAUUCAAUAGCUGGGUAGGUAGAUGCUAGAGUCUACAAAAUAAAAUGAGUCUCAAGUGGUCCUUGUCCCCUCUCCUACUCAAAUUCUGAAUCUAGUUGACAAAAUUCUGAAAUCAAGGCAUAUAGUCAGUGAUGAUAGAAG
rnacentral:ribozyme from 10 species